AAGAGACGUUGCCCUUCGGGGUAUACUUCCCACCCUUUGUUUAUUAUACCUUUGUUGCUUUGGCGGGCCCGUCCUCGGACCACCGGCUUCUGCUGGUCAGUGCCCGCCAGAGGACCUAAAACUCUGUUUGUUAAUAUUGUCUGAGUACUGUAUAAUAGUUA
rnacentral:misc_RNA from 1 species